rnacentral:sRNA from 12 species
UGCCUAAACUCUACAACAAUGUAGGGUAUGGCAAAAAUCCUUGUCAGAAGUAAGCUCUUCAUGAGAAUCUGACAAGGUCUUGCAGGGAAACUUGCAUGGGGGCGCAAGCCUC